rnacentral:rRNA from 1 species
UACGUAGGCAGCAAGCGUUGUUCGGAGUUACUGGGCGUAAAGGGUGUGUAGGCGGUUAUUUAAGUUUGGUGUGAAAUCUCCCGGCUCAACCGGGAGGGUGCGCCGAAUACUGAAUGACUUGGAGUGCGGGAGAGGAAAGUGGAAUUCCUGGUGUAGCGGUGAAAUGCGUAGAUAUCAGGAGGAACACCGGUGGUGUAGACGGCUUUCUGGACCGUAACUGACGCUGAGGCGCGAAAGCGUGGGGAGCAAACAGG